ensembl:lncRNA
GUCACUUAUCUGGAGACCUGCGGUUCGAUUAAUCGCUACGUCCCGGAAGCGCGGGCCGCACACGCGCGCUAAAGUCAGAACAUCAGCGUCAACUGCGAAUCGCUCGGCGCGGACUUCGCCUGUGCAGCUGAGGCCUCUGCUGCCCGAGGGACCGAGAGGGCAACUUCUCAAAGUGGAGUUUCUGGAAAACAGCAAAUUCAGACUCCACUGGGACAGUUUUGGGCCACAGAAAAAAAAGCAUUGGCUUCCUGUUUGCAGGAGACUCAAACUUCCGUGAAGGAACAGGAAAUAAAGGCGGGAAGCUGCUGUGUGUGUGGCAAAGCCGCCUGCGCUCCUCCCAGGCGCGUGCCCUGAGAUCCUGUCAAAAAGCCUUCUCCAGCCACCCUGAGGGCCCUAGGAGCAGCAGGUCGCCCCAGCUCCGCGCUCUUUCUGGCGGCCCUUGGGAGGCACCUACUUCGCCUCUCACCUGAAUCUCCCACCUCGGCCAUCUAGAGGGAUCUGUGGACAAAGCUGAGCCCAGCGACAGCCCUGGUCAGUCAGGCGGAACGGUCUAUGCAAAUCGGGGCCCGGGAACAGUGCCCCUUUGUCCUGGCCUUUCAAAGCCCGGCAGCUGGGGACUUGUGCCUUGGACCCUCGGCGCCCACAGCUAUGUCAUCAUGGCAGAACGUCAGAUGCUGAAAACUAUACGACCUGAAUUCAUGAGCAGCCUUCUUGGGAAGGUCCCCUUUCCGGUCCGCGUCAAAGCCCAGAGCCGCGUGCCGGUGGGUCAGGGCAGGUCGGCCGGACCGCUGCAGUGAGGGGAGAGGUCACCUGCCCGCCCGGCUCCCCAACCUUCCUAACUGUCCCCUGGGGCCCGCGCUGAUGUCUGACACUGGCGACCCUGAAAUGUCUCCCCAGUCCCACCUGAUGCAGAUUGCAAGUUUCGGAGACAGCAAGCAGCCGUGAUAUCCAGCUCUGGGAAUGAGCAGAGCGUCCGGCCUCUGCCUGCUCCAGAGUGCCAGGGAGGGAAUGGAAGCUCCCUGGGUGAGAGCGAACUCCAGACAGUGCUCACCAGACAGCAAACUCCUUUUUAAGCCAGCGUGCAAGUGUUGGUGAUUGAACCCAAGGUCUUUUCAAUGAACUACAUCCUCAGUCCCUUUUUUUUUAUUUUGAGACAGUCUUGCCAAGUUGCCCAGGCUAAGUUUGAAGUUGUGAUCCUCCUGUCUCAGCCUCCUGGAGUGCCAGGAUUAUAGCCAACCACCACCAAGCUUGCCUGUUUGACAAACUGAGGAGCGAGGGUUCAGCGGGGCUGCAACCAAAUACUACUUUGUAGUUGCAACAUGGAAGGCUGGGAAACAAACAGGAAAGGCCGCACAGGGCGUGGCCGCGUGGCCGUUGGGUUGGGAGGGUGCUGGCGCAGCUCUGACUGUCGACGCCUUUGGGCCUCGGAGCGCAGCUCCUGGGGGUCUCUGGACCUUGGAGGGCGCUGCCCAAGGCCGCACCCCCGGAGACCAGAGUUUGGGCCGUGAGCACGUGGGGUAUCCAGGGCCUGAGUCGCCUGGAGGCAGAGGCUGUGCCAGCCUGGGUCUCCGACGUCGACCCAGCCUGUGGACCACGCCUGGGUUCAGCAGCCUGCGGAACUCGAGUGCCAGAGCGGCCAAGCGGUCCGGGUGGGUGGAGCUGUGGCCGAGGGGCCUUGUCCGUCCCUGCACACAGGUCCCAGGGCUGCUGACCUCCGCAUCGGCUUGGCCCUUCUGCUCUCACACACACUCACUCCCCAGCAUCGUCUCUGCAGAUGGUCUCAGGGUUGUGGCGUCGCACACUCUCUCACACUCUCCGUCCGCCCUCAGUCUCCACAGAGCCGGUGGGGGGAUGCUGGGUGGGUGGCACCCGACUCCCAGGGCAGGGAAGCCACAAAGCCGGCAGGGGCCCCUCGUGGAGGCCCCCACGUGUGCUUCUGAGCCCCAGGCUGCCUCUCCUGUGCAGCACGGUGGUGCCGGGUCCCUGACACACAGGCCACGACCUGCCCUCCGUGCUUCCUGGUCCUGUCGGCCCUGCUCAUGACUCUUCGUCGACCACCCUUGGACGCUGCCUGGACGUGCGCUGCCAGGAAGGUGGAUGCCAGCAGGGCUGUGAGCGCAGAGACUCACGAGUGUGACGUCCGCACCCACAUAAAGAUGCUGAUGGGAAAUGCGUGGGAAACCCAUUCCUCCCCGAGUGUUGGCUACAGUGUGUGUAUUUUGGGUGUAU